rnacentral:rRNA from 1 species
UACAGAGGUCCCAAGCGUUGUUCGGAUUCACUGGGCGUAAAGGGUGCGUAGGUGGUGGGGUAAGUCUGAUGUGAAAUCUCCGAGCUUAACUCGGAAAUGGCAUUGGAAACUACCUUGCUAGAGGUUUGGAGGGGAGACUGGAAUUCUUGGUGUAGCAGUGAAAUGCGUAGAUAUCAAGAGGAACACCGGUGGCGAAAGCGAGUCUCUGGACAAAUCCUGGCACUGAGGCACGAAAGCUAGGGGAGCAAACAGG